GGGCACUUGGUGUAGUUGGUUAUCACGCCCGCUUAGCAUUAUAUGUAUAGUAUGCGGGAGGGGACCGGUUCAAUUCCGGUAGUGUCCA
rnacentral:tRNA from 1 species